rnacentral:lncRNA from 1 species
UGUGGUUCUUUUUGCCAUUCAUGGCCCAGAGGAUGACAUGCCUUCCCUCCUGAUCUUGAGAGUCAAAUGUGCAAAGAAUUUCAGAGGGCCCAGCUGAAUUACCUGAGUGGUUUGACCCACCGAAAAGCCAAGUGUUAUUCCAAUUUGUCGAAGUCAAAGGGAUCUUCAUACAGGGAGCACAGACCUGAACCCCAAAGAGGGAC